rnacentral:rRNA from 1 species
AUUGAACGCUGGCGGCAGGCCUAACACAUGCAAGUCGAACGAGUGGCGGACGGGUGAGUAAUGUCUGGGAAACUGCCUGAUGGAGGGGGAUAACUACUGGAAACGGUAGCUAAUACCGCAUACCAUCGGAUGUGCCCAAAUGGGUUUAGCUAGUAGGGGGGGUAAAGGCUCACCUAGGCGACGAUCGUUAGGGGGUCUGAGAGGAUGACCGGCCACACUGGAACUGAGACACGGUCCAGACUCCUACGGGAGGCAGCAGUGGGGAAUUUUGGACAAUGGGGGAAACCCUGAUCCAGCCAUCCCGCGUGUGUGAUGAAGGCCUUCGGGUUGUAAAGCACUUUUGGCAGGAAAGCGGUACCUGCAGAAUAAGCACCGGCUAACUCCGUGCCAGCAGCCGCGGUAAUUC